CCUUGCUCUGUGGGGUCAGUAAUUAUUUGCUCUAUUUGGUUAGAAGCACCGCUUCUUAUCUACUAAGACCAUGUGCAAUAUUAAAGUUUGAGACUACCCAAAAUUUAUUUGUGUUUCGGUCUUCCUCAUUAUGUCAAGGUUUGUGAAUGCACUCUAGAUCGGAUAAGCAGGCAUCCAUCCAAAGAGGACUUAAAGUUGGAUGCUUUCGUAGAGCAAGGGUAAGUCAGAA